GUCGAGAAUCUUUCACAAUGGGGGCAACCCUGAUGGAGCGACGCCGCGUGGAGGAUAAGGUCUUCGGAUUGUAAACUCCUGUCAUGCGUGAACAAGGUUGCUUGGAUAAUACCUGAGCAAAUUGAUGGUAGCGCAAGAGGAAGAGACGGCUAACUCUGUGCCAGCAGCCGCGGUAAUACAGAGGUCUCAAGCGUUGUUCGGAAUCACUGGGCGUAAAGGGUGCGUAGGUGGCGUGGCAAGUCAGAUGUGAAAGCCCGGGGCUCAACCUCGGAACUGCAUCCGAUACUGCCAUGCUAGAGUACUUGAGAGGUGACUAGAAUUCUCGGUGUAGCAGUGAAAUGCGUAGAUAUCGAGAGGAAUACCAAAGGCGUAGGCAGGUCACUGGACAGUUACUGACACUGAGGCACGAAGGCCAGGGGAGCGAACGGGAUUAGAAACCCUGGUAGUCC
rnacentral:rRNA from 1 species